AUCCAUUACAAACAAACUAACAUGUCUUUUCUCUUUAUAAUGUUAGUACAGAUUAUUAUUUUAUAUAUUUGAUUAUAAAUAGUUACACUACUACUCACUGAAGAACUUGGAAAACAGGAACUAUUAUAGAAGGGACAGAAAGCAAGUCUACAAAGUGUAAAAAUAAUAAUAAAAAAAAAAUUGCUUGAUAAUAAGCAUGAUGGUUUGUCUAGCAAGUGGGCCUCAUUUCAGUGUGUUAUCGUAAUUUGUUAGUGAAAAUGAAUUGGAUUUCAUAAUACAUGUUCUAAAACGUUUGUAAAGCAAAACAAUUUUGGAAAUAAGAAUAAUAGUUUUUCCUCUAACUGUAUUAGGUUAGCUAAAAGAGAUCUCUUUCAGAGAUAAGCCCACCCUUGCUAACAAUUUGUUUAACUAAUCGCUGUAUCUUUUUUUAUCAAGUACAAAGAAUAUAUAUAAUUCAACAACAACGAGUCAACUUCAUAACGAAAAACAGGCUUCGUGUAUAUGACGUUCUUAAUAUCAAACAGUACCUACAUACAUUCCAAUUAAGUAUUUACUGCUUCCUCCAAAAAAUUACUGAGUAAACAACUUGGCAAAAAAUGACAAGAAACAGAUGAACACCCACAUUCAUACAUAAUAUCGUUACAAUAUUAUAAAUGUGAAAGUGUGUUUAUUUGUUUACUCUAACGACUUAAUUAUUCACUAUGAAAUUGGGUAUAUAGGUACUAUAUGGAAUGGAGAAAACAAGAGAAAAAUUGUUACCGCGGUCAGUGAACAAAUAUAACAUAUAUCAGAUCACGCGGUCAAAAUUGCGUGGAAAAGCUAGUAAAAAAAAAUAAAGCAUAGAUGAAUGGCCGACAGAAGAAGAAUCUUUAUCUAGUAAAAGAUAGUUUUCUAUAUUUUAUGUAAAGUUUUACUUCUACUCUUAGAAGAAAUAAAACUCAAGCAAGCUCCAUCAAGCAAACCGUGCGCAUGUUUUAUUACUUUACUUUGUACUUUCUAAUUAUGUAAAAAGUAAUCAGUUUCCUCGAAAAUAAACAUAAUUAGUAAAAGCAAAAGAAUGGCCAUAUAAUGACGUCAAUAUAAUAGUCAAACUUAAAAAGUAAUAUUAAGAUGAGGGCACAACAUUGAAAUCUCUUCAACGCUUUGACUUAGUUAAAAUGGUAAAGAGAUUAGUCUCUCAAAACAAUUUCUAGUAAAUAAUUGUUUGUUGGAAACACUCUUCGUAUAUUUCGGAAUGUUUAUAGGUAAUCUAUAUAAACAUAUAUACUACAUAACACUUCCGAAUAAUAAAAUACCACUGUAAAGCUUUCCACAAAAUGUGAAAGAGAAACACAAACGUGUAGUAUGUACCUAAUACAACCAUUUAGUAUGCGGGUUCAAGAUAGCAAAGGGUGAAAAUGGUUGUUGUUUUUUCCAUAAAAAUGUUUACAUUGUGUAAGAUUUGGACAACAAACAUUUUUCGAAACUUUACUGUUGUGGCGCUGUGCCUUUAUUCCGUGCCUUAUUUCAUUAUAGUAUUUAGGAACCGUUAUAUUAUAUUAAAGGUUCUGAAAUGAAGAAUCGCAAACCCUAUCGAUGCAAAAAAUAAUAUCAAAAUCCAUGACAAAACGAUAACGAAAAUCUACGUAAUAUAAAAAAAGCAACCGAAAAAUAGGACCACUUCUUAUUUUACGUCGCUGAAAAAUAUAAUAAAUUAAUAAUUGGGCAACAGUUCCAAAUAUAUUUUUAUAUUAAUAAUAUAAUAUUAUUGUAAUUCUUCCUACUGUUCUAUUACUUUCUUAAGUUUACAAAUUAUGUAAUAUAAAUUUAACUUUUUUUA